rnacentral:misc_RNA from 1 species
CAAUGCCACCAUUCUAACACCACUCUCAUCCUCAAGAUCGCUUUCUGAAGAUGUAGCAUCUAUCAAUGCCUUUAGAGAGCAAAAUGACAUGCAAAGAUUAUCGAGCCUUCCAGAGAAAACAAAUUCUUUAGCAGCACCACCUAUUAUACUUGGUUGAGUAUCACAUGCUUGUAAUUCAAAAUCACAUAUAUCAUCUGGUUUGCAGCCAAUCUGACUUGCAAUCAUCUCUAGUAGAAUUGAGUGAUGCUUUGAGUAAAUGGUCGAUUUCUUCCCAUCAGUUUCCCCAUUUCCAUCAGGACCAAUUUUCGCAAUCACUUUAUUGAGCUCUGCCUUAACGGACGUUGCCAAGAUAGGAAGAAGAUGACUCUGUGUGUUCACCUUAAACCCAUCGCUAUUGACGUUUCUGUCUAAGUGAAUUGCCAGUGUGGGGACACGCAUAAUGGGCUCCUCGAUUCUAAC